GUUUUUGGAAAACUCGCUGUACAGCGGUGCACCGAUUAUUAUAUCGUCGCCACCAUCGCCGUCUACGUCUGAAACGCAAAUCGAAUAACCGAAAUAUGCACCGAGUUGAUCGCCAGUGAUGUUGUACAAAUUUAACAGAUCAAAAACCGUUAUUGAUGUAUACGAAUCUUACUUUUCCGAAAAGUCCUCCACCCCUGGGCAUUCCAACUGCAGCGCCGGAUUCCGAACCAAAUCCAAAAGCACCGACGGCGACCGAAUAACCGAGAUACGAAUCGUCAUCAGCUGGCGGUCCCUCGUUGGUCGAAAAUACAUCCGGUCGACUGUGCAAGUUUUGCGAGUAAAAUUGGCCUAUAAAAUAUAAAUGCGCAUUAUAGUUUUUCGUACUGGAUAUUAUGAUAUUCUGCCUUUCUCCAAGCUUAGAUGUUUCGACUUUCGAGUGUCUAUCGGAUGUUGUCAUCUGCUGCAGUUGCACGUGUUACUCUAAUGAGCAUCUGUCAUCAGCAGUAGGUACACCUGUUUCCAAGACGACUAUAUAGACCAUUUAUAGAACGUUCGCUUAAACUCUUCUCCGGACAUUUAUGUCUUUUUUUUUAUUAUCUUACUUCCAAACACAUUUUUGGAUUCGAAAAAUAAUACUUGUGGGUUCGCAAAUGUUUGAACGGUCUUUUGAAACACCCUGUACCCAUUAAGUGCGUGUUUUUAAGAGUGUCAUUAAGGAUUAUUCGGAUUAAAAUAAUAUUAUUUCAUUUUUAUUCUCUGGAAUAUCAUAAAUGAUUAAACAUUACAAUAAAAACUAAAUAAAAGUAGUAAAGAUUAGUAUAAUGUACACAGGCAAUAAGCAGCAAACGUUAGUAUAGUGACCAAAGCAAAGCGAAACAGGAAAGCGUCAAGAAAUUUCCACAAAAAUGCAAUUCCCGACACAUCCUAAUUAUGCCAAUUAAACCGGGCUUGAAAUUUACAUUACAAUUUAAUGAUCAAUGAUUUUUAUAAAAAAAAAAAAAUAAGAAUUUUAUGAUCCCUUAAUAAUCCCAUUAUACCUUAUAAUUUAACUAUUUAGAUAUUUUGAACAAUGAUACAAUUUUAUGAUUCAGAUCAGAGUAACUAAAUCACCAACUUAAUUAAACAUUUAAAUAUGGCUGGAAUCAACUUAUUACAAAAAAUAUGGC